rnacentral:rRNA from 1 species
GUGAGUCGACCCCUAAGGCGAGGCCGAAAGGCGUAGUCGAUGGGAAACAGGUUAAUAUUCCUGUACUUGGUGUUACUGCGAAGGGGGGACGGAGAAGGCUAUGUUAGCCGGGCGACGGUUGUCCCGGUUUAAGCAUGUAGGCUGGUUAUCCAGGCAAAUCCGGAUAAUCAAGGCUGAGGUGUGAUGACGAAGCACUACGGUGCUGAAGUAACAAAUGCCCUGCUUCCAGGAAAAGCCUCUAAGCAUCAGGUAACAUCAAAUCGUACCCCAAACCGACACAGGUGGUCAGGUAGAGAAUACCAAGGCGCUUGAGAGAACUCGGGUGAAGGAACUAG